CGUGCCUAAUACAUGCAAGUCGAACGCAUUGUGGUUGAAAUGAUAUGAAGAACUUGUUCAGUAUUUGAUUUUCAACAUUGCAAUGAGUGGCGAACGGGUGAGUAACACGUGGGAAACCUACCUCUUAGCAGGGGAUAACAUUUGGAAACAAAUGCUAAUACCGUAUAAUAAUUAAAACCGCAUGGUUUUAGUUUAAAGAUGGUCUUGCUAUCACUAAGAGAUGGUCCCGCGGUGUAUUAGUUAGUUGGUGAGGUAAUGGCUCACCAAGACAAUGAUACAUAGCCGAGUUGAGAGACUGACCGGCCACAAUGGGACUGAGACACGGCCCAUACUCCUACGGGAGGCAGCAGUAGGGAAUCUUCCACAAUGGACGAAAGUCUGAUGGAGCAACGCCGCGUGUGUGAUGAAGGGUUUCGGCUCGUAAAACACUGUUGUAAGAGAAGAAUGACAUUGAGAGUAACUGUUCAAUGUGUGACGGUAUCUUACCAGAAAGGAACGGCUAAAUACGUG
rnacentral:rRNA from 1 species